rnacentral:rRNA from 1 species
CACGUAGGGCGCAAGCGUUGUCCGGAAUUAUUGGGCGUAAAGAGCUCGUAGGCGGUCUGUUGCGUCCGCUGUGAAAACUCGGGGCUUAACCCCGAGCCUGCAGUGGAUACGGGCAGACUAGAGGUAGGUAGGGGAGAAUGGAAUUCCUGGUGUAGCGGUGGAAUGCGCAGAUAUCAGGAGGAACACCGGUGGCGAAGGCGGGUCUCGUGGGCAGUAACUGACGCUGAGGAGCGAAAGCGUGGGGAGCGAACAGG